rnacentral:lncRNA from 1 species
AUGCCCAUUUUACAAAAGAGAAAACUAAGUCAUACAAAAUCCCAUCUUUUUCACCCUAGAAAUUGUUUUAUUAUUACUAUUGCUUUUAGAAUUUCAUACAUUUCUUUCUCCCUGCAAAUUCCUGUUUGUUGGAUAUUUGGAACUGGGGUCUUUUUUUUUAAAAGAGAUUUUAUUUAUUUAUUUGAAGGCACAGUUGGAGGGAUGGGCCAGAACUGGGCCCAUCUAAAACCAGGAACCAGGAGCUUCUGCCAGGUCUCACACACAGGUGCAGGGGCCCACAGCGCUGAUCCAAAGCCAGGAGCCAGGUACUUAUCCUGGUCUCCCAUGCGGGUACAGGGCCCAAGCACUUGGGCCAUCCUCCACUGCACUCCCUGGCCACAGCAGAGAGGUGGCCUGGAAGAGGGGCAACCGGGACAGAACUGCCUUCUCAGGCCUUAGUAGAGCUGGAUCCAAAGUGGAGCAGCCAGGACUAGAGCUAGAACCCAUAUGGGAAGCCGGUGCCCCAGGCAGUGGUUUACUGGCUGUGUCACAGCGCCAACCCCAUUGCGUCGUCAUUGACAGUGGUCACCCUGCUGUGUCACAGAGCACUGGAACCCUCCCCCCACCUGUAACAUGGUGUCUGCUGACCUGUCCCCACCCGCUAGUGACCUUGCAGACUGUGAUCGAGUGCACUCACAGUGGACAGAGGGCGAUGGCCAUUGUGGGGAGUGACUAAACCCCCUCCCAAGGUGCCUUCUUGGCUCUGCCACUGUCUGCCCGCCCAGCGGCCAAGGGCUCCGAGGAAUGGGCCCAGCCUCAGGAAGCUGAGCACUGCUGGGCAGAGGGAAGGCAGGGCGAGCCCGCUAUGCAGGCUGCAGGCCAUCUUGUGCGCUUACGUGUUCAGGGCUGACCAGGUCUCAGGAAUCUUGACAGCCACAUGACGCCAGCUGUUGCCCACGCAUCUGAUCUUAAUCCCCACACUCAACGCCUCUGAAUCCCAGCCCUGCAGAGAUCCUGCCCGUCUCCCCCGCAGAGCUGCACGCAGCCUCUGGAGUGGGCAGGAGGCCCUCCAUGCGCUGGGACCGGAGCAGGCCGAAUCCCUGCAUCGAGAGGCCCCGGGGGACUCUCCGUGUCCCGGUGCAGCCAGGGUCCCACGGUGGGUGCGUUUGUCAGAAUGUGUUGCCUGGUCUCUGUGCGUGUGCGCCUUCCCCUCGAUGGGAAGCUCACCUGCAAACUGAAAAGGAGCUCCGGUGGAUGAGGCUCAGAAGUCAAGUUCAGGGUAUGGUCAAGGUCUUGGUAAGCCAUCAGGGCACAGACCAAAAGAGAUGGAUUCUUGAGGAUCUCUCUGGGAGCUGAGCCUGCCUUAGUUAAGGAGACUCUUUUAAGUUUCAAAUUCCCAGGAAGGGACCGAAGAUUCUGAUGAGCCUGGUGGCCAAGUGGGGAGUUCUCAAGGUCAAAGGCAUCCUUCUACCAUGCUCGGGGCGAUUCCAGAGGAAGGCAGCAGGGGUGAGCCUCGGACCACCCACUGGUGUGCAUUUCAGAGGCAUGGGAUGUCCUGCUGGUAUUUCUUCUGUCUCUUGUUUUUCAAGUAAAUGAAAAUACACAUUUAAAAGGGACAGAAUAUUUCCCCAAAUGCCUACAACAGACAGGGCUGGGCCAGGCCAACGCCAGGAAUCAGAAACUCCAUCUGGUUUUCCCAUGGCGGUGGCAGGGGCUCAAGCACUCGGGCCAUCAUCUGUCUUUCCAGGGAGCAUGAGCGGGACACCAGAGUGGAACCCACACUCCAGUCUGAGAGGCAGGUGUCCCCGUGUCUGCCAUCCCUGACCCCAACCUUCCCUGUAUCACCUGAAUCCUUGCUGGGGGCAUCACUGAUUCAAUGGUGUAUGGAUGGGGCAUUUCCAGGAAAGCACGUCCUGUAUAUGCAAAUGAGCAGGCUCCUGUGAUUCCUGGGGCUGAGAAGUUCCAUGGUCUGCUCUGUUAGGCUGGGAGCCCCGGUGGAAGGCCAGCUCAGGAAGUCAAGGUUAGAUUUCCCUCUUCCUGCACCUUUUUGUUCCGUUUAGGCCAUCGGUGGACUGGAUGCUGAUCAACCACUGGGGAAGGCCCCUACUGUGCAGAGUCCAUGCAUUCAAAUGUUCAUCUCACCCAGAAACCCCCUUGAAGACACACCCAGAAGUGAGAAAUGUGGGCCCCUCACGGUACCGGAAGUUGGCACACGUAGGAAUCGGGGACAUGUCUUCAGAGGGGUGGAUGGCGUUUACUACGCAUGCUCAGUGGGAAGCUCACCUGGAAACGGAAUACUCUGUGGAAAGCUCUCCCGAGGACUUCAUCAAGGCAUAGAGCAUUCUGAGUUGGCAGCUCACAUGGGGACUAAGUUCUAGGAGGUCCUGACCACGCUUAGAGGUAGCUCACCUGGGCUGUGAGCAUGCUCAGUGGGUUAAGCACCCGGGGACUGUGCAUGCUCCUGGUGUAGCUCGCUCAGUGUACCUAAGCACCUUGCCAUAGUUUACAACUAAGAAUGCUCAGUCCCCAGGAGCCACCCACUUAGAAUCCUCCGUGCCCAGAUGAUCUACCCAGUGCCCAGCUUAGGUAGCCUCGGAGAACAUUGUGUCCUCAGGUUGGGCACACUGAGCAUGCUCAGGUUUACCUGGGGAGAGGAGAGGAUUUUAAAAUGGAAUAGAAGGGGCCAGGACUGUGGCGCAGCAGGUUAAAGCCCUGGCCUGAAACGCUGGCAUCCCAUAUGGGCGCCGGUUCUAGUUCUGGCUGUUCCUCUUCUGUUCCAGCUCUCUGCUGUGGCCUGGGAAAGCAGAAGAUGGCCCAAGUGUUUGGGCCCCUGCGGCCAUCUGGGGAGUGAACUAGCAGAUGGAAGACCUCUCUCUGUAACUCUUUCAAAUAAAUAAAUCUUUUUAAAAAAUGAAAUAGAAUGC